AAGAUGCUCGUCAUCUCCCUAGCCCAACCCCCAAAUGCUUUUUGGUGUGAUGCUUUCUGAUACAUGUAAAAGGGGAGCUGACUUAAUGUUAGGCAAAUGCUUUGCUUUCAGAAUGUCAGCUUAAGAAGAUUUGAGAUGUUGAUGGGACUCAAAAACAUAUGAAGAGUCCCAGUUAGUAUUGCUGGGUCAGCCGCCUCCCAUUUCCUGAGGUUUCAGGACCAAAACCGAAGACCAAUGGGUAGGUCUUUGUAGUGGCACAGAGAUGAUGCAGGCAAGGAUGCCUUGGGACCAGCUGAGGAGGGGUCUGGGUAAAGGGAACCAGCUAAGUUUUGGACUGCUACCGAGUCUCAUGUAGUAACGAGCCAUGGUGUCGUUGCUGUACCCCUUGCUAUGGUCCAAAUGGUGUGAUGGGCCCUAUCCCAGACUUUGAAGCUACCUCACAAAGUAUCCCACAUUCUUCCCCUCUGGCAGGGAGAACCCUAAGAUCUGUCUACCUACCUGGAAAAGCAAAGAAGCUCAACAAGACUCAGCAACCCUGGUCCUGAUGGAUGAGGCAAAAAACCCCAUCCAGUCCGGUGUUAUCCUCAGCAGUGACCAACCACGUGCUUGCGGGAAGCCGAGAAGCGAGGUGCAAGUUCUGCAGCAUCCUUGGAAUUAUGGAGCUGCCUUGCUUUUGACGUGGGAGCCAGGGAUGAAUGGAAGAGGCCUUGAUGAUCUGUGAGCAACCCAGGAGACCCUCACAGGGACACAGGUGUUCGGAUGGGAUCAUUCCACCGUGUUGGCAAUGCAAGACGUCUUUGUUCGGUCCUCUUUGGUUCAAACACCAUUUGCACCACGUCUUUAUUCUGGAGAGGAAGAUUUUUCAGUGUUCCCUUUUUUGCCAUUGAGAAUUAUGAGCAGCUCAUCCUAUUGCAGGAGGCUCUAUGACAAAAGAAAGAAGACAGCCAAGGCUGCCAGGAUCUUCCUGAGCAGAAGCCGCUUCCUGAUGUUCUUCACAAGAAAUAGGCAGAGCGGGCUAUCCUCCUUUAUGUCCAGACAGAUUGAGGUUCGUUUCCCAGCAUCUCCAGGUAAGGCUGAGAAAAAUCCCAGAAAGUUCUUGCUGACGGUCAGUGUUGGUGAGCUUGGGCUAAAUGGACCAUGGGUUUGGCUGACAAAAUGACAGCUUCCUAUGUUUGCAUUGCAAACAUAGUGGUCCUGGUGCCACAAGGCUAUUGUGAAAAGCUCUGCUGUAUUCCCACACGAGGGCUUGCGGAGAGAGCCACACACCACCUGGGUUUUACUGCAUAAGUAAAUGUUGUG
rnacentral:lncRNA from 1 species